AGAGUUUGAUCAUGGCUCAGAUUGAACGCUGGCGGCAUGCUUUACACAUGCAAGUCGGACGGCAGCACAGAGAAGCUUGCUUCUUGGGUGGCGAGUGGCGAACGGGUGAGUAACGCAUCGGAACGUACCGAGUAGUGGGGGAUAACUGUCCGAAAGGAUGGCUAAUACCGCAUACGCUUUGAGAAGGAAAGCGGGGGAUCUUCGGACCUCGCGCUAUUCGAGCGGCCGAUGUCUGAUUAGCUAGUUGGUGGGGUAAAGGCCUACCAAGGCGACGAUCAGUAGCGGGUCUGAGAGGAUGAUCCGCCACACUGGGACUGAGACACGGCCCAGACUCCUACGGGAGGCAGCAGUGGGGAAUUUUGGACAAUGGGCGCAAGCCUGAUCCAGCCAUGCCGCGUGUCUGAAGAAGGCCUUCGGGUUGUAAAGGACUUUUGUCAGGGAAGAAAAGCUUUGGGUUAAUACCCUGGAGUGAUGACGGUACCUGAAGAAUAAGCACCGGCUAACUACGUGCCAGCAGCCGCGGUAAUACGUAGGGUGCGAGCGUUAAUCGGAAUUACUGGGCGUAAAGCGAGCGCAGACGGUUUGUUAAGCAGGAUGUGAAAUCCCCGGGCUCAACCUGGGAACUGCGUUCUGAACUGGCAGGCUAGAGUAUGUCAGAGGGGGGUAGAAUUCCACGUGUAGCAGUGAAAUGCGUAGAGAUGUGGAGGAAUACCGAUGGCGAAGGCAGCCCCCUGGGAUAAUACUGACGUUCAUGCUCGAAAGCGUGGGUAGCAAACAGGAUUAGAUACCCUGGUAGUCCACGCCCUAAACGAUGUCAAUUAGCUGUUGGGGUGCAUGAC
rnacentral:rRNA from 1 species